rnacentral:rRNA from 1 species
UACAGAGGGUGCGAGCGUUAAUCGGAAUUACUGGGCGUAAAGCGCACGUAGUCGGCUUUGCAAGUCGGUUGUGAAAUCCCCGGGCUCAACCUGGGAACUGCAUCCGAGACUGCAUUGCUAGAGUAUGGGAGAGGAAAGCGGAAUUUCUGGUGUAGCAGUGAAAUGCGUGGAUAUCGGGAGGAACACCAGUGGCGAAGGCGGCUCACUGGUCCGGUACUGACGCUGAGGUGCGAAAGCGUGGGGAGCAAACAGG